CCCUUAGAUGUUCUGGGCCGCACGCGCGCUACACUGAUGCAUUCAACGAGUCUAAAACCUGCUCUGAUAGGGGUGGGUAAUCUUUUGAAUGUGCAUCGUGAUUGGGAUAGAUGAUUGCAAUUUUUCAUCUUCAACGAGGAAUGCCUAGUAAACGCAAGUCAUCAGCUUGCAUUGAUUACGUCCCUGCCCUUUGUACACACCACCCGUCGCUCCUACCGAUUGAAUGAUCCGAUGAAUAUCAUGGAUUGAGGAUGUAAGCAGGUUCGCCUGUCUUCAUCUUCGAGAAGUGAAGUAAAUCUUAUCAUUUAGAGGAAGGAGAAGUCGUAACA
rnacentral:rRNA from 1 species